UCCUGGCCCAAUGGGUCUUACCGGAAGACCAGGUCCUGUGGGGGGUCCUGGUUCAGCUGGAGCCAAAGGUGAGAGUGGGGAUCCAGGUCCUCAGGGUCCUCGAGGUGUCCAAGGUCCUCCUGGUCCAACCGGAAAACCUGGAAAGAGGGGCCGUCCAGGUGCCGAUGGAGGAAGAGGCAUGCCAGGAGAACCUGGGUCUAAGGGAGACCGAGGGUUUGAUGGACUUCCAGGUCUGCCAGGUGACAAAGGUCACAGGGGGGAAAGAGGUCCACAAGGUCCACCUGGCCUCCCCGGCGAUGAUGGAAUGAGGGGAGAAGAUGGAGAGAUCGGGCCCAGGGGUCUUCCAGGGGAAGCUGGUCCACGAGGCUUGCUGGGACCAAGGGGCACUCCAGG
rnacentral:lncRNA from 1 species